CUCUGACCUUUUCUAACUCACACGUUUUUCUGCUUUGGGGGAUUGAACUACUCCUGGCUCCACCUCUCUGGUAUUUAAAUAAAGUCUGCAUAAAAUACUAAACUCACUUAUCUUCCAGGCUUUGCUCAGUCUCCAUAGCAACCUCCCUAGAAACAGACUUCUUUAAAAAGGAAUCUCAAAAAAGUUGGGAUCAUAUAGGACUGUGUUCUUUACAAUUGUACUGAAAAUUGGAAAAAAUAAAACCAGCUGUCUCAUCACAACCUCCGCUGACUUCGCUCUCGUUCCAUAACGCUCUGGCCUGGUCAUCCGCUUCCGCUCUGCCCGGACCGUCCAGUCUCCACGUUGCAGUUGGAACCAUCUCCAAACGCAAAAAUGAAACUACACAGUCACAGGAGUGUUACACAGUCUCUGUGGGGAAAAGCACAAACCAGUUUAAACUUAGAAUUCCUCAUCAUCUGACAGAAGGAUUUUCAUCAUGCUUUCUUAUGAGAAGAAAAUUUAGUGAUUUGCACUAGCCUUUGGGAAAAAUGCAGCUUACGUGCACGGAGACAAGACCAGCAUGAAUCCACUUGAUGCUUAGUUGCAGUUUGAAGAGAGUAUCACUGAAUUGCCCCAGGGACCCAUCAGUCAUUCUUCUCUUCUCGUCUUAUGCAGUGGCAGCAGGGAAAAUAUUCUAUGUAUCUGUCUCCUGAGACAACUGAUUGGUUCCCAGAAACAUCAUCGCCUCACGGAAGGACAAGUUAACUGGAUAUCCUAAAAGAACAUUGUAUACAAUGCUUAUUUUAUUUUAUUUUUCCAAGCUCUAUUUUUAAAGUAAAGUUGUAACUCAAAAGCUUGCAUAUUGGUGACCACAUGGUCUAGAAACAACUUGUCCAAUAAGCAUAAGCAUGUUUAAGGGGAUUGGUAUUGAUCACAAAGCCUCCCUCUUUGCUCUAAUUUCAUGUGGAUGCACUGGCAUCAAAGACAUAUGGGAAGAAAAAUUGAGUAAUGAGGCUGCCAUAGAAUAUAACUCCUUAUAGCCUUUCAAAGGAGUGAAAUCUUUAGC
rnacentral:lncRNA from 1 species